rnacentral:lncRNA from 1 species
GGGGAGGGCGCGGGCUGCGGGGCUGCGGGGAGGGAGGGGCGGGUUCAGGGCUGUGGGCCCCGCCCGGGGCACCGCCUGGAUCAGGCCUGAGGCCGGCUGCAGAGAACUUGGGCACCGCGGACCAGAUUGCUGGUCACCAGGAUGAAAAAUAAAAAAGACCCAAACAGCUCCCCCGACCCCGCCUUCGCGCAGGCCCCUGGCGUUCUGCUCAGGGGUUUUUGUUUAAUGAAGAACGUCAAACAUCUGGCAAGGUCGGAAUGAUUUUGCGAUGAGCACCGCCUGGAUUCUGCGGUGAAAGCGACUGUGUGCGCGCUCACGGCCUCGCCUGUCCCUGCAUCAGCCCAUCUCGUCAGGCAGAUCAACAUGAAGCUGUAAAACGGAUGACUUAGGCCGGGCGUCGUGAUGGGCGCCUGUAAUCCCAGCUACUCGGGAGGCUGAGGCAGGAAAACCGCUUGAACCUGGGAGGCGGAGGUUGCAGUGAACCGCGGUUGCACCACUACACUCCAGCCUGGGAGACAGAGCGAGACUCCGUCUCAAAAUAAAUAAAUAAAACAUAUGACUUAGGUAUAUACGCAUGGGGGGAAUCCUCGUAAGGCAAGAACGUGCUGCACAUUCUGGGGACUGGGACAGGAUAAGCACACGAGUAGAUCUAAGUCACUGGAAAUACCUGGUUUUGCUGUUGGAGGGGGGCUUGCAGGUGCUCGUUAUAUUAUUACGCUGUUGUAGUAAAACGAUGUUAGUUACAGUAUUAAAUUGCAAAUGUCAGUAUCCAUCACCGCCAAAACAGCGUGCAUACCACUAGCAUAUGAUUUUUGUAGUUUUUUAAUGUUAAGUUUGUAAUGAAGUGCACAAACUUAAUUAUACAUUGGCUGAGGUUAUUUGUUUUAAAGGCAGUACUUGCUCUAUGGCCCAGGCUGGAGUGCAGUGCGUGAUCAUGGCUCACUGUAACCUCAAAUUCUUGGCCUCAAGCGAUCCUCCUGCCUCACCCUCCUGAAAGGACUGGGAUUACAGGCGUGAGCCACCAUGCCCAGCCUCCUUUUGCUGAGUUUUAACAAAUACAGUAGUGUAACCGAAGAUGCCAUCAAGACAAAUAGAACACGUCCCUCACCCCAGAAAAUUCUCUUAUGCCCCUUUCCAUUCUAUGUCCACUGCUACCAUGCCACCUGUGCUGAUUUCUCCACUAUGCUUCCGCCUGUUCUAAGAGUUCAUACUAAUGGAUCAUUGGGUACAUGUCCUUGUGUAAGGCGUCUUUCCCUUAGCGUCAUGUUUCUGGAGAUUCUUCUGUGUUGUUUCAUGUCUCAGGAGUUUGUUCUUUUGAUUGCCAAGCAGUCCAGUGUAAACACACCGGUGUGUUUAUCUGCUGUAUUCAUGGACACUUGGAGCUGUGUCUGGCUAUUGGCGAUCACGAAUAAAGUUGCUGUUGACUUUCUUUUUGAAGUCUUUGUGUGGACAUGUUUUUAUUUCU